AUAAAUGAAAAAAAGAAUACUUUUUGUGACACUGUGGAAAAAAUGCAGGGCCUCUUACAUUCUGCAGAAGUUUACUGCUGCUGACAUAUGCCUCCCAGAAAAAAAAAUCAUUCCUUUAUUACUGAUAGUGAUUCCAGCUAGAGAUGAAACAUGGAGAAUGGUUUGCAAGUCAUGAUAUUCUGAUAGGGUUUUGCUUUCUUGUGAUAAUGAGUCUGAAGCUGCAGGUUCAAUCCCACAGGUACUAAUUAGAUCUACUCUUUUUUAAAGGCAGGGCCUAGUCCUGUAGGCUUGACUAGCCUUCCUUCACAGACAUGCAGCUGGUCACUGUCACUAUGAGCAGGUGUUUAAUCAUCACCAAGCCACAAAUAAUAUGGAGGAAAAUACAUAGGCAUCCAAGCCAAGUACACUCCAAAGAUAGGUGCUCGUGUAAUGGCUAGUAGAAAGCAAUUUUUCUGAAGGAAGGAUUUUUCCUGACAGCCUUCUACACUUGCCCCAAUCCAGUCUUUAAACAUUUAAAGAACAAAGCAGGCAUAUGAAAUGCUUACUUAUCAAGGGAAGUCAAGAACUGAGCAAUCGCUACCACCAUCCCCUGUGUAAGGAGAGACAUGACACUUGCUUUCUCAUUAAAAGCACACACUAGACGUCUGACAUAGGAGAGACACUAGACAAACGCUGGAGACAAGAGAGAUGGGAUCAUCCUGCUUAAUCCCCUGCAAACAGGUUUUUUUUUUUGGUUUUUACGAGACAGGGUUUCUCUGUAUUGUUUCAGAGGCUAUCGGUCCAGCCUGGCCUCGAACGCACAGAGAUCCGCCUGCCUCUGCCUCCCGAGUGCUGGGAUUAAAGGCGUGCGCCACCACCGCCCGGCAACAGGUGUUUUUUUAACAAAUGGCCAGAGCCUUCAGUCUGUUUCUCAGGCAGGCAUUGGAACACAGCAUGUAUAGAUAGCAUGGGUUGAAGAUUCUUGGCAUGAAAAUAAAAAUCUAGCAGGAGGUGAAGUGAUUAGCCAGAAGCUUGAUCUGUGGACUGUACCAGGCAUUUGGUGCUGUUCACAGAGGAAGUUUGUGGAUGUUUUCCCAGGAUGAGCUAAAACUGUGGCUUACUUGAGAUAAUCAAGAAAAUAAGACAAAUAUAUACAUAAAUUAUUAUUGGAUAUUUGCCUCAGGCUGUAGGACAUUUUGAGGAAGUGAACUCUCUCCACUUCUGAAGGCCAGAUGUGAUGUUAGUUACCAAGUCCAUACCAAGUCUGAACUCAUGAAGAAGUCAUUGACAAUACCUAGUCCAGAACUGGACAAUAAUGAUGAUAGAAGAUUCAUGCUUGUAAUUCUCCUUUUUCUGCGGUGAUGUCCUUCCUGUGUUUUUGGUGUUAUAAAAAUCAUCUUAUGAAAUGGUUUAUUAUUAUUAUUAUUCCCAGUGAAUAAAGGGAAGAGUUGUUAUUCCCCUCCAGUUUUAUGUUUUCAUAAAUCAGUGGUCAGUAGGGAGAACUCAUGGAGUUGAAUUAAUUAAUCAAAUCAUCACAAAACAUAACGAUGAUAACUCAGCCUCUUCCAAGAACCCUUCCUUUGCACUUUGAACUGUGUGGGCUGUGCUUUCUGCUUCUGAACCUUUCUCAUAACUGUAUGUUCACCCCCAGCACUAACUCCACAUCUCCAACUCCAAUUACUUCUUUUUAACAUUUCCUGUAAUUGUGUAUGCUAUGUCCAAGGAAAUACGUCCCCAAUUAUUUUGUAUAGAAUGCUAAUUUCGUGGAAUGAAUUACAACGAGAUGGAAAUUACUGGCACAAAUUUGGGAAUCAGUCAUUUAAACAGUGUAUUGACUAACAUUUGUUCUUUGAACAACCGUAUAUUGGCUCAAUCCAUGUGCAAAACAUUUAUCAAGUGGCUACUGUGCAUGUAUUAACCUCAAGUAUAAAUAUUCAAGAGAGAUACGCUGA